UUAUUGAGUCGAGUGGCAAACGGGUGAGUAACGCGUAGACAACCUGCCGCAAAGAUGGGGACAACAGUCCGAAAGGACUGCUAAUACCGAAUGUUGUAUCUCCUCCGCAUGGAAGAGAUAUUAAAGAUGGCCUCUACUUGUAAGCUAUCGCUUUGCGAUGGGUCUGCGUCUGAUUAGCUAGUUGGUGGGGCAACGGCCUACCAAGGCGACGAUCAGUAGCCGGUCUGAGAGGAUGAACGGCCACAUUGGAACUGAGACACGGUCCAGACUCCUACGGGAGGCAGCAGUGGGGAAUCUUCCGCAAUGGGCGAAAGCCUGACGGAGCAACGCCGCGUGAGUGAAGAAGGUCUUCGGAUCGUAAAGCUCUGUUGUCGGGGACGAAUGUUGAGGCCUAGAAUAUAGGUUUCAAAUGACGGUACCUGACGAGGAAGCCACGGCUAACUACGUGCCAGCAGCCGCGGUAAUACGUAGGUGGCGAGCGUUGUCCGGAAUUAUUGGGCGUAAAGGGAGCGCAGGCGGGAAGGUAAGUCUAUCUUAAAAGUGCGGGGCUCAACCCCGUGAGGGGAUAGAAACUAUCAUUCUUGAGUGCAGGAGAGGAAAGCGGAAUUCCUAGUGUAGCGGUGAAAUGCGUAGAUAUUAGGAGGAACACCAGUGGCGAAAGGCGGCUUUCUGGACUGUAACUGACGCUGAGGCUCGAAA
rnacentral:rRNA from 1 species